UCACCUCUCCCUUGGGAGAGGUCGAAACCGCGCAGCGGUUUCGGGUGAGGGG
rnacentral:sRNA from 1 species